rnacentral:lncRNA from 10 species
CCAGAUUCUCUAUAUAAACUCCAAGUCUCCUAAUUUGGGGGUUUCUCUCCUGUGAUCCAAACUCACUGCCUGCACAGGAGGCACCUGGCUCUCAUUCAUGUUGCCCUGUGGAAUUGGGCUCGAGGAACUGGGACAAAGUGUAUAGAGGAUGCAGUGGAGGGCUCUGAGAUUCCAAAGGACAAGAAAGCCACUAGCUGGAAGAAACUUGGGUUCCUGAGUGAUGCGUGGAGCAGAGCAGAGCUUCCUCACCAACCUCCAUGUGAUGGGAGUGAGAAAUAAACUUGUUAACAUUUUUUAUUACAGCAGCUAGCUAACCCUGACUAGUACAUUGUAGAAUACUCGUAUGUCCUUUGCCUCUCUGGUAGCUUCUCUGACUCCUUCCUGGAAUCCUCUUCUUUCUCUCAUCACCUGAACAAAACUAUCCCCCUAAAAAUCAGAGCCCUUCUGACCACUUUCCUCUGGGUCAGCAAGUGACCUAGUCCUGAUCUCUCUUUUGAGCUCCAGAUGCUCAUCAGCAGCUUCUUAAGGUUAACUGUCUUGCAGUUGCAUGAAGAUGCAAACCUAAGUUCAUUUUCUUCCUCCCCAAACUGAUUCUCCUAACUUAUCUUUCACUGUCACUCACUCGUCACCAGGCUUCUCCUAGUCAAACUGGCAGUACAUCCCUGUGUGUUUUCAAUUCUUCCCUCUUUCUCACCAGCUACACCAGACAGAAGACCAUCACUCCUCUUUCCCCCACAUCCAUCCCCACGCUUCUGCUAUCCUCAUGGCCGUCUCUCUUCUCAAGCCAGGUGGUGGCACCUUAAGUCCUCUCUUCAAUGCCACU